rnacentral:rRNA from 1 species
ACGGCUCAGUAACACGUGGACAACCUACCCUGAGGAGGGGGAUAACCCCGGGAAACUGGGGAUAAUACCCCAUAGACUAUGGAUGCUGGAAUGCUCUGUAGUUAAAAGGCCCGCCGCCUCAGGAUGGGUCUGCGGCCGAUUAGGUUGUUGUUGGGGUAACGGCCCAACAAGCCUGUAAUCGGUACGGGUUGUGGGAGCAAGAGCCCGGAGAUGGAUUCUGAGACACGAAUCCAGGCCCUACGGGGCGCAGCAGGCGCGAAAACUUUACAAUGCGAGCAAUCGUGAUAAGGGAACUCCGAGUGCCCGUAAAAUCGGGCUGUCCGCCAGUGUAAAUAACUGGUGAAGAAAGGGCCGGGCAAGACCGGUGCCAGCCGCCGCGGUAAUACCGGCGGCUCGAGUGGUGGCCACUAUUACUGGGCUUAAAGCGUUCGUAGCUGGUCUGUUAAGUCUCUGGGGAAAUCUUCCGGCUUAACCGGAAGGCGUCUCAGGGAUACUGACGGACUAGGGACCGGAAGAGGUGAGAGGUACUCCAGGGGUAGGAGUGAAAUCCUGUAAUCCUUGGGGGACCACCUGUGGCGAAGGCGUCUCACCAGGACGGCUCCGACAGUGAGGAACGAAAGCUGGGGGAGCAAACCGGAUUAGAUACCCGGGUAGUCCCAGCUGUAAACGAUGCGCGUUAGGUGUAUCGGUGACCACGAGUCACCGAGGUGCCGAAGAGAAAUCGUGAAACGCGCCGCCUGGGAAGUACGGUCGCAAGGCUGAAACUUAAAGGAAUUGGCGGGGGAGCAC